AACGAACGCUGGCGGCAUGCCUAACACAUGCAAGUCGAACGAGACCUUCGGGUCUAGUGGCGCACGGGGGGGUAACGCGUGGGAACCUGCCCUUAGGUUCGGAAUAACUCCCCGAAAGGGGUGCUAAUACCGGAUAAUGUCUUCGGAGCAAAGAUUUAUCGCCUUUGGAUGGGCCCGCGUAGGAUUAGCUGGUUGGUAGGGUAAAAGCCUACCAAGGCGACGAUCCAUAGCUGGUCUGUGAGGAUGAUCAGCCACACUGGGACUGAGACACGGCCCAGACUCCUACGGGAGGCAGCAGUGGGGAAUAUUGGACAAUGGGCGAAAGCCUGAUCCAGCAAUGCCGCGUGAGUGAUGAAGGCCUUAGGGUUGUAAAGCUCUUUUACCCGGGAUGAUAAUGACAGUACCGGGAGAAUAAGCUCCGGCUAACUCCGUG
rnacentral:rRNA from 1 species